GCUGCCGCACCAGAGCACUUUCCGGCCGCAAACGAGGUAAAAUUUCUCCCAUUGGCUCGGAUUUCGAUGCUGAACCCCCUGUGGCUAAAUCGGAGCCAAACCAUCGGUCAAUUUGCUGGAAAAUGCUGCCGAAGCCCAGCGGCGCCGCCACAGGUUUUUUCGAUUUUUGCCUCCGAUGAGGUCCUUCCCAAUUCCCAUUCGAUGUAAUUUUUACACCACUGUGGCCACCGUCCUUUCCUCUACAGGUUGAUCGGAGCAAAACGCCAAAUCGCAACUCGUGCCGAAGGAGCCACCGCACCCGAGACCUCCGCCGCCGGUAAGUCUCGAUUUUCUGUAUUUUUUUGGCCCACCGAGGGCCUUACGUGUGUUUUCUUGCAGGAACUGGUGCUAGUUUGGCUGAAUUCGGUCGAAAAUAGCCGAAAACAGCCAACCCGAGGCGGAUCGCCGUCGUGGGCAGUGGCGCUGUUGCCGGAGCACGACGGAGCUGUCGUGCUGGAAUUUCAAAAUUGGCUGAGGAAGCCCUGGGUUUGAUUUGGAGGUUUUUGGGAACAUGUGCAGGUACCAGAAUUGUGUUUCAGUUCCUGAAAAAAAAUUCAGGGAAUUUAGGGACUGCCCAUAGGCACAAUAAAAAAUCGAUUUUAGACUUCGAAUCAAGUAAGGAUCUCUCACUCUAUUUCUU
rnacentral:lncRNA from 1 species